AUGUUUCAAAAGCAUAUAUACUAAAAUUAGAAUUAUAUAGAGAAGAUUAACUAGCAUUUCCCCUGAGCAAAUAUGACAUAUUUUUAAUUUAGCUUUAACAUUAGCUA